AAGACGAACUUCUUCCAAACAGACUGGGGAAGAGGAGUAUGACCCAGACGGUCCGCUGUUGCUGCAGGACGGAAGGUCAAAGAGUUGGUUGUUAAUAGAGAGCAUGUGGGAGUCGUCUUUGUGUGCAGAGACUGCAGCAGAAGGAAGGUGUUGAUGACCAGGCCGAGCUGGCAGCCGCUACCCCAGGCCCACAGCUCGUUCUGGGCUGACAGAGCCAAGCUGUGCUCCCGUCCGCAGUCGAGAUCCAGGACCCGAACCAUCGCUGGAGGAAUGACCUCAGUGUCCACCACACUGACUGGGCUGGGUUCCGAGACUAUCAGGGAAAUAUCUGCUUCAUUAUAAUAAUUAUGAUCAAGUAAACAAAAACAAAAGAUUCUUCAUUUCUACAACCACUUUAUAUUUAAGUGAGACAAGCUUUGGAAAGAAGAAGAUGAUCGUUCCAACCUGUGAUAUUCAUGAUUGUUCCCCUGUCAGUUAGCCCACACUGUCCUGCAGUAUUCUCCCCCCACAUGUAGACGCUGCCCUGCUCAGUCAGUGCUCCACAGUGGAAGCCACCAGCAGCCACACGGAUCACCAUCUUCCCCAGCAGAGAACCUUCUAGCACCGGGGCAGACACUGGGAUGCUCAAAUCCCUCCAUAAAAGCUCCCCAAAUGAAAACACUUGACCACCUGGAAAACAACAACAACAGCAUGGAGGCCAUGAUGCUCUCCCAGGGCGACCUGCACAACAGGCCAGGGCAGCAGCAAUCUUUCUGGACUGAGCUGCUCACUGCAUCCUGCUGAACGCCAGACAUGGAGAAGUC